UGGGAUAACUCCAGGAAACCGGAGCUAAUACCGGAGAGUUCCUUGAACCGCAUGGGUCAAGGAUGAAAGACGGUUUCGGCUGUCACUUACAGAUGGACCCGCGGCUCAUUAGCUAGUUGGCUAGGUAACGGCUCACCAAGGCGACGAUGCGUAGCCGACCUGAGAGGGUGAUCGGCCACACUGGGACUGAGACACGGCCCAGACUCCUACGGGAGGCAGCAGUAGGGAAUCUUCCGCAAUGGACGAAAGACUGACGGAGCAACGCCGCGUGAGUGAUGAAGGUUUUCGGAUCGUACAGCUCUGUUGUUAGGUAAGAACAAGUUCAAGAGUAACUGCUUGCACCUUGACGGUACCUAACCAGAAAAGCCCCGGCUAACUUCGUGCCAGCAGCCGCGGUAAUACGUAGGUGGCAAGCGUUGUCCGGAAUUAUUGGGCGUAAAGGGCUCGCAGGCGGUUUCUUAAGUCUGAUGUGAAAGCCCCCGGCUCAACCGGGGAGGGUCAUUGGAAACUGGGAAACUUGAGUGCAGAAGAGGAGAGUGGAAUUCCACGUGUAGCGGUGAAAUGCGUAGAGAUGUGGAGGAACACCAGUGGCGAAGGCGACUCUCUGGUCUGUAACUGACGCUGAGGAGCGAAAGCGUGGGGAGCGAACAGGAUUAGAUACCCUGGUAGUCCACGCCGUAAACGAUGAGUGCUAAGUGUUAGGGGGUUUCCGCCCCUUAGUGCUGCAGCUAACGCAUUAAGCACUCCGCCUGGGGAGUACGGUCGCAAGACUGAAACUCAAAGGAAUUGACGGGGGCCCGCACAAGCGGUGGAGCAUGUGGUUUAAUUCGAAGCAACGCGAAGAACCUUACCAGGUCUUGACAUCCUCUGACAACCCUAGAGAUAGGGCUUUCCCUUCGGGGACAGAGUGACAGGUGGUGCAUGGUUGUCGUCAGCUCGUGUCGUGAGAUGUUGGGUUAAGUCCCGCAACGAGCGCAACCCUUGAUCUUAGUUGCCAGCAUUUAGUUGGGCACUCUAAGGUGACUGCCGGUGACAAACCGGAGGAAGGUGGGGAUGACGUCAAAUCAUCAUGCCCCUUAUGACCUGGGCUACACACGUGCUACAAUGGACAGAACAAAGGGCUGCGAGACCGCAAGGUUUAGCCAAUCCCACAAAUCUGUUCUCAGUUCGGAUCGCAGUCUGCAACUUGGCUGCGUGAAGCUGGAAUCGCUAGUAAUCGCGGAUCAGCAUGCCGCGGUGAAUACGUUCCCGGGC
rnacentral:rRNA from 1 species